CCUACGGGCGGCAGCAGUGAGGAAUAUUGGUCAAUGGGCGCGAGCCUGAACCAGCCAAGUAGCGUGAAGGAUGACUGCCCUACGGGUUGUAAACUUCUUUUAUAAAGGAAUAAAGUGAGGCACGUGUGCCUUUUUGUAUGUACUUUAUGAAUAAGGAUCGGCUAACUCCGUGCCAGCAGCCGCGGUAAUACGGAGGAUCCGAGCUUUAGCCGGAUUUAUUGGGUUUAAAGGGAGCGUAGAUGGGUUGUUAAGUCAGGUGUGAAAGUUUGCGGCUUAACCGUAAAAUUGCAAUUGAUACUGGCAGCCUUGAGUACAGGUGAGGUAUGCGGAAGUCGUGGUGUAGCGGUGAAAUGCUUAGAUAUCACGAAGAACUCCGAUUGCGAAGGCAGCUUACUAAACUGCCACUGACAUUGAUGCUCGAAAGUGUGGGUAUCAAACAGGAUUAGAGACCCGUGUAGUC
rnacentral:rRNA from 1 species